rnacentral:rRNA from 1 species
GACGAACGCUGGCGGCGUGCUUAACACAUGCAAGUCGAACGGAAAGGCCCCUUUGGGGGUACUCGAGUGGCGAACGGGUGAGUAACACGUGAGUAACCUGCCCUUGACUUCGGGAUAACUUCAGGAAACUGGGGCUAAUACCGGAUAGGAAUCCUUGCUGCAUGGUGGGGGUUGGAAAGCUUCGGCGGUUUUGGAUGGACUCGCGGCUUAUCAGCUUGUUGGUGGGGUAGUGGCUUACCAAGGCUUUGACGGGUAGCCGGCCUGAGAGGGCGACCGGCCACCUUGGGACUGAGGUACGGCCCAGACUCCUACGGGAGGCAGCAGUGGGGAAUAUUGCACAAUGGGCGGAAGCCUGAUGCAGCAACGCCGCGUGCGGGAUGACGGCCUUCGGGUUGAAAACCGCUUUCAGCAGGGGCGAAGCUUGUGGUGACGGUACCUGCAGAAGAAGCACCGGCUAACUACGUG